AGAGUUUGAUCCUGGCUCAGGAUUAACGCUAGCGGCAGGCCUAAUACAUGCAAGUCGAACGGCAGCACGAGUAGCAAUACCUGGUGGCGAGUGGCGCACGGGUGCGUAACACGUAUGCAAUCUACCCUUAACUGGGGGAUAGCCCCGAGAAAUCGGGAUUAAUACCCCAUAACAUUAUGAAGUGGCAUCACUUUAUAAUUAAAGCUCCGGCGGUUUUGGAUGAGCAUGCGCGACAUUAGCUAGUUGGUGAGGUAACGGCUCACCAAGGCUUCGAUGUCUAGGGGUUCUGAGAGGAUUUACCCCCACACUGGUACUGAGACACGGACCAGACUCCUACGGGAGGCAGCAAUAAGGAAUAUUGGUCAAUGGACGCAAGUCUGAACCAGCCAUGCCGCGUGAAGGAUGACGGCCCUACGGGUUGUAAACUUCUUUUGUACGGGAAAAAAUCACCGGUCG
rnacentral:rRNA from 1 species